CUUUAAUGAGAAGCUCUGAGGGCAUGAGGGGCACUUAAAUGGCUUCUCGCCACAUGUGUUUCAUAAGGUUGCCCUUUUGUGAGAAGCCCCGAGAGCAUGAAGGGCACUGAAAUGGCUUCUCGCCUGUGUGGGUGCGCAGGUGUUUCAUAAGGUUGCUCUUUUGUGAGAAGCUUUGAGAGCAUGAAGGGCACUGAUAUGGCCUCUCGCCUGUGUGGAUGCGCAGGUGGGCUUUCAGGUGGGAUUUUUGCGAGAAGCUCUGAAGGCACGAAGGGCACUGAAAUGGCUUCUCGCCUGUGUGGGUGCGCAGGUGGCUUUUCAGGUGGGCUUUUUGUGAGAAGCUCUGAAGGCAUAAAGGGCAUUGAAAUGGCCGCUCACCCGUGUGGAUGCACAGGUGACGGUUUAGGGCAUCCUUUAAUGAGAAGCUCUGAGGGCAUGAGGGGCACUUAAAUGGCUUCUCGCCAGUAUGGACGCUGGCAUGUGCUUUCAGACGAUACCGUUUAUCAGUCUCAUAGUCACAUAGGUGACAUCGGUGGAGGCAUCCUUUCUUUGAUUUGUCACAUUUGGCAGUCGAUGGAGAAAUAGAAGGCCUCGAUGCUGCACAAAUAAAACAAAAGUAAGUAAAGGUUAUU
rnacentral:lncRNA from 1 species